rnacentral:siRNA from 1 species
UAAACCUAGAACCUCACACACAC